rnacentral:rRNA from 1 species
AAAUUGAAGAGUUUGAUCAUGGCUCAGAUUGAACGCUGGCGGCAGGCCUAACACAUGCAAGUCGAACGGUAACAGGAAUCAGCUUGCUGAUUCGCUGACGAGUGGCGGACGGGUGAGUAAUGUCUGGGAAACUGCCUGAUGGAGGGGGAUAACUACUGGAAACGGUAGCUAAUACCGCAUAAUG